UGUUUUCCUCCCGUGAAUAUGAAAAUAAAAAUAAAAAAUAAAAAUCCUGCCCUCACUUAACGGGGAAAAAGCCACUCAUAGAUAAAUAUUUUUAAGGGAGUGUUUUCCUCCCGUGAAUAUGAAAAUAAAAAUAAAAAAUAAAAAUCCCUCCCUCACUUACGAAGGAAAAAGCCACUUGUAAAUAAAUAUAUUUUUAAGGGAGUAUUUUCCUCCCGUGAAUAUAAAAAUAAAAAUAAAAAAUAAAAAUCCCGCCCACACUUUUCGUCUCCCGCGUGCACAGAAGAGCAACCCGCCAAAAGCCUUUUUUUUUUUUUUUUUUCAUGUCACUAACACACAGACCACAAAAAGCCCUAAUCUUCUUUCUUUCCCAGCCAGUCUCUCAAAAUGCCCUAAUCUUCUUUCUUCCAUUAUUUCUGUUGAGGAGGCUGGAUCCCACCUUGUUGCUUACUAUGCCGACAACACCCAGCCAGUCUCUCCCCUGCUAAGGCUGCUAUCCAUCUCUCUCACACACACUUGACCAAGAAUCAAGUUCACUUCAAAGCUUGCAACAAACAGUAUUGUGACAUUCCUCUUCAACAAUGAAGCUAUGGAUGGUUUGACGCGGACAAAUGAGCUUGUUUUUGUUUUGGCAGCAACAAAUCUUCCUUGGGAACUAGAUGCUGCUAUGCUCCGAUGUCUUGAGAAGCGGGAUCUAUUUUAACCAGCUUAUUAGGAGCAUAACAAAACCAUUACUUUUGAAGUAAGAUUAGGAGCAUAGUUCUGGUUCUUAAUCUUCAUAUCUGGCAGGUAUGUUCUGAAUUCUACUAGCUAAUGAAGUUCAUUUAUCAAUUAUCUCUAUGUGAAGUCAUGGGUCCUUGUCGUGGCCAUUACUUUAAUGUUGAAAGCAUGGG